rnacentral:rRNA from 1 species
UACGUAGGGUGCAAGCGUUAAUCGGAAUUACUGGGCGUAAAGCGUGCGCAGGCGGUUUUGUAAGUCUGUCGUGAAAGCCCCGGGCUCAACCUGGGAAUUGCGAUGGAGACUGCAAGGCUUGAAUCUGGCAGAGGGGGGUAGAAUUCCACGUGUAGCAGUGAAAUGUGUAGAGAUGUGGAGGAACACCGAUGGCGAAGGCAGCCCCCUGGGUCAAGAUUGACGCUCAUGCACGAAAGCGUGGGAGCAAACAGG